AGUGAACGCUGGCGGCGUGCUUAACACAUGCAAGUCGAACGAGAACGGGCUAUAGCUUGCUAUAGUUGUCAGCUAAGUGGCACACGGGUGAGUAAUGUAUAGGUAAUAUGCCUCUUACUAAGGGAUAACAAAUGGAAACGUUUGCUAAUACCUUAUACUCCUUAUUAACAUAAGUUAAUAAGGGAAAGAUUUAUUGGUAAGAGAUUAGCCUGUAUUGUAUCAGUUAGUGGGUUGGGUAAUGGCUUACCAAGACUAUGACACAUAACUGGUUUGAGAGGAUGAUCAGUCACACUGGAACUGAGACACGAUCCAGACUCCUACGGGAGGCAGCAGUGGGGAAUAUUGCACAAUGGACGAAAGUCUGAUGCAGCAACGCCGCGUGGAGGAUGACACAUUUCGGUGCGUAAACUCCUUUUAUAUGAGAAGAUAAUGACGGUAUUAUAUGAAUAAGCACCGGCUAACUCCGUGCCAGCAGCCGCUGUAA
rnacentral:rRNA from 1 species